rnacentral:lncRNA from 1 species
CGGGGCAGGACGAAGGGAGAGGUAACGCUAGGAAAGAUGACAACUCGAAAGGGAGGCAGGGCAAAUGAAGCAGCCGGGACACACAGAGAGAGAAAAGACAGAGGAUCCGCUUAGGGGAUGCACAUAAACGAAAGACAACGAUGAUUUCUCUGCGUGUGACUACGAAGAUGGAGAUGAAGAAGAUACCAGUGAAAAGAAAAGGAGGAAACAAGAAAAGAGAAUAAGUAAGGAGACCAAAUAAGGACUGAGUGCCCAAGGACGGGUCAAGUGCUUAGAAAAUCACCCAGCUGGUUAGGCUGGGCUGGGAGAAGGGCCAUAGCCGGACCCGAAAGGGGACCAUCAGAAAGACAGAGGCAGGCCAUUGAAGUAGCCAGUGACGGAGGUAAAAAUGAAAAAAAAAAAAAAAAAAAAAAAAAAAAAAAAAAUAGAAGAUGGAAAAGGUGAGAGGCAGGAGAGGGAAAACCCAGAGGAGACACUGGCCCAGAAACCUUUUUAACUUUCUGUAAGAAUCUUCAAGGCCCCAAACUAGGCCAGGAGUCUGACUGACAUUUCUGAGCUCACCAGCUGCUGUUUCCUUGAGAGAAUUCUGACAGGAAGGCAUAGAAAUGCAAGCCAACACUGCUAGCACUGGGGAAAAAAAAAAAAAAAGAAAGAAAAAUCCAUGCUCUAAACACCUUAAUGGGGAUGAGGCUGCCAGGGAAGAAGGCACGGAGAGAAGGGACCCGCCGGCAACUUUUCCCCAGCCCUGUGAAUGAGCUGCUUCUGUCAUCUGAAGCCAGCACCGCAGCAUCUAUAAGAGCAGAUAAAGCUCCAGGUUCUGCCUCCCCCAGGUCGAGGGAGCACCGCUGGAAUCAUGCUCCAUCUGGCAGCCAGGCCAGGGGACGUGGAUGAGAGAAAUCGCCCCAGCCUGCAUGACUGGUGUGUGGGAGUGACUUUAGUCCUAACGGUGAACUUGAUUCUGUGUGCUGGGGCUGGAAGCAAAGCAGAGGGGAAGGUGGACUUAAAAGAGGGCCUAUGAAGAGAGGCGAGAGUUCACAGUUGCCUAGGGGCUGGUCAGUAACUCGAAGAGCUCGGGUCUGGGGAGUGAGGGAUGAGAAUUGGACAGCACAGGAUUCGAACUUGCGGCUUGCCCUUCCAGUGCCUUGGUUCAAUAUUUUGAAUGUGUACUGAAACUCAAAAGUAACUCAAAGGAAUUUAUUUCUAAUAUAUCAUUUAUCCCAAUCAUUAAAUGGGAGCAAUUUCUUCUGAUGACCCCAAAGACAUCCCCAUGCAGACAUUGUGAAGUAUUACAUCUUUUUUAAAAACUAA